rnacentral:tRNA from 1 species
GUGAGUGUAGCUCAGUUGGCAGAGCACUGGGUUGUGGCCUCAGUGGUCGCGGGUUCAAGUCCCGUCACUCACCCCA